ensembl:lncRNA
AAAAAAAAUGAACAUAAUACUAAUUGUAUGCUCUAGUGUGUCAAUACAGGUGGGCGUCUCUCAACUUUGGAACCUUGAGUUCAGCAGCAGAAGAGCAGAUUAAUAGAAUUGGGAGAAAAUAAGCCAGUCUUUGGCUCGAAAUUGUGCGGCUUGAUCUCUCACUUUGUCCCUGAAGCGGAGAAGAAGUUCAAAGGACAGUCAAUCGCCUGAUGAAGACCGACAGAACAUCGUGGACUUGAAUACAGCAGGCAAACGGCAGUGCCACUGAUCCAGUAACACUGAUGACGACUGACGACCAGCAGCAGCAUGUAAGAGUACUGCAACAUGUACUGUGAAAAUACAGGCUGGGCAGUUGAACAGUGGGAUAAAGAAUUGUGGAAGAGCACUGGACAUUGAGUGAUAUUUUGCCAUGCUGGGACUUAACUUAAAAGAAAGACUGUAAAGAAACAGAGAAGAAGACAACAGCUGAGUUGAGACUGUGUUUGCUGGAGCUUUGAAGCCCGAAUAGGACGCUGUGAAUGAAAAAGGACCAGUGAGAGGUGAAGCUGGACGAGUUUGACUGCGAGAAUAUAGGAUAUAAUUGGAUUGAAAAUUGAAGCCUGAACUCAUGAAUUGUUUAGGGAUGUCCACCACAGCAUAACAAAGAGGUAAACAUUAGAAAAGGUAAGAAUAAUGAACGAAAAUAAUUGUCAUUACCUUAAUGAAUAGAAAACACACAUACAAAUUGUUACAUGUGAGAUUAUUUUUGAAAUGAAUCAGAAGUGAGAUAGUUUGAAUCUAAGGCUCAGUGGUGAAAUGCAUAAAUUAAAUAUGAAUAUAUAGGAUGCAAUGAAGAAACAGCUGACACGUAGUGUACAUUAACAUGAAUACAUAGAAAUGCAAUGAGAAACUCAAUGAAUUAAUUCAAUGAAGAAGCAGUAUACACCCAAUUAACAUAAAAUGCAAGGAAGAACACGCUUACAUGCAUGGCAUAAUUGGUAUUUCUGACUAGAGACAGAGAAAUGGGUCAUUUAAGCACUUGUGGGAAUAAUGAAAAUGUCUUAGUUUUGUUAUUUUCAGGGGUAAAGCAGAACCGUACCAACUCUCCACAGCAGCAGUCGGAAGAAAGUUAGAAGUUAACAUCACUGGAUAAGUUAAGGCAAGUUUCUGGUUGAAUUGUUCACAGAAUCAUGUGUCCAUGAACCUGGAAAACAGGCCCUAGCUCCUGGCUGAAGACUAGGAGUGCUUUAUUUAAGGUGGGAAAUCAAAACAGAGGGUUAGUAAUUCGGGGAAAAAGAAAACUGACUGCUUAACUGGAGAAUUGGGAAGGAGUCUGGGAGACUGUGAAGCCAUAGAUGCAAAAUAACACAUACCCAUACACACACAAACAGAAAAUGCAUUAACCUUAUAAAGACAAGCUCCUGAAGCUUAAUGCAUAGAGACAUUGAUUAAAACCUGGCUAAGAACAUAAGCAUAUGCAAUGAAGAUCGGCUUGCUACUUGUAUGAGUGAUAGAAUGGUGUGAAUGUUGAAUAAACUGAUUAAACUAGUUUAAAAGGGUGACUUAGCAGUGCUUUUGCACUGAGUGAUCAAAACAAGUGAUUAGUAUAGAAAGAAAAUGAAAAUAAUUCAAUAAUGUGAUAAAGUUUAAACAUGUAUUUCUUUUGCCAAGUUAAAAAUUGUUGAGAUAUGGCUGAGUAUGGAAAAAUUUGAGAGCUUGUGUGAAUGUGGACAGAGGAGCUUGCUGUGUGUGUGUGAUUGAGGCCUUAAAGGAGGGGUAGAUUGUUCAGGGGUGCAAAUUUGAUUAGGAGGUUUAUAAAUUAGUGUUGACACAUUGUGGUAAGGUGUUAGGCUGAAUCUGAGUAUGGUAAAGUGCUUAACCGGGGUUAUUGUUGUGUACGAAACGGUGUAGCUUUUGGCGAGGUUUUCGGUGUGUUGAAUGGGUGAAAUUUAAGAUGGUUUAAGAUUUUUGGGGCUGUUGUUUUCAUUUUAAUAGAGGGAGUUUUGAUAAACAUGGACAUGUCUAAAAGGGCCCAUAGUUUUUAUAACAGUGCACUUAGAAAAAACCUGUCAGGUGAUUUUGUUUUGUACUUUGAUGAGCUAACAAUCAGCUCUCUUUUUUCUCAUUUUGCUCUAAGCAGGCCUGGAAGAGAGUGAACUGACGGCGCGGACAAAUUACCAAGUAAGGAUUGCAGCGAGUCAAUCCAGUCAAAAGUAUAGAGAACUAUUUUCCUAAAAAGGAAAAACGAAAUAAAACAAAUGAUUGAGCUCAUUUUGCUGAUGUGGAGCAUCUGAUCACGUGCGCAGAAGGCUGCAGAUCAGCAAAAAUAUCAUGUGUGAAUGCAUGGGAGUGAAUGUGAGUGAUGGGACCAAGAGGGGAAAUAAAUAAAAGGUUGACAAACAGGACAAGUGGGAGACUUAAAUCUGGGGAUGCUGAUUUUGGGAUAUUGAUGUGUGCGUUGAGAAAAUUAUUUAUUGGGGUUGGAUUAUGUUAUUACAUUAUAGGAUGUUAAAUGCUAAAAGGGAAACAUUGAUGUAACUUAAGUUACCAUGAACGGAGGGGACACAUGAUUAAUAACUGUUCUGUGUAAGUUUAUUUUGUGUUAUAACACAGGUUGGAUCAUCAGUGGAGAAAGUGAGUAUAAAAGGUGAUGUUCUGGUUAACACACAGGCUUUUGUUUAUAGGACGUUUCAAGGAUGCAGGCUGUGGAUGGAGCCAAGAAAAGAUUUGACAUGAUGAUUAAUUUGAUUUCAUUCCUUAAAAACAGGUUUGAAGGUCCGGAGCAUGUAGACUUAAUAUGAUAUGACUAACCUUUUUAAUGCCCUAACCUGAGUGAAGGAUUUUGAGUUUGUAACACAUGAGAUGUGUCACAAAAAGGG